rnacentral:siRNA from 1 species
UCGCUCACUGCUACCUACCCCACA